AUGAGCUUUUUGAGAACUCAGGAGAUUGCAGAGAGCACAUCUGAGUGUACCAUCUGGGAUGAGAGCUCUCCCAGCUCUCAUUUGGUGCUGUGGAGAUUGGACUGCUGGAUAUCAGAGAAUUUGGCUGCUGCCAUGUCACAGCAGGCUGAGUCAUUGACUGUUGAGUCAUUAAAGUGCUCUGCUUUUCCUCAAGCCCUCUGCUCCUGUGCUGCUUCACAGGUGCCCGCAGCUGGAAAAAGGAAAGGGAUUGGAAGACCCUCUGAAAACCAGAUGACUCUACUGGCAUCAGUCAGCUCUUAAGUUGGUAAGUCAAAGCUUUGCCAGACAAAGUGUCUCCUCAGGAAUGCCAGCAAGUAAGGUACAAGGUUGAUCUUUGUCAGAGCCUUGAUGUAUGUGUGUGGUAAGAAUGAGUGGAUGGCUUUGGACUUGUUAGGCAUCAGAAAUCCCCUCUAGAGAGCAAGAUCUGUUUUCCCAGUCUCUGCCUGGGUUCUCUACUUGGUUACAUGACUUCCCCUUGAGAAAAUUUCCUCUGAAUAUUGUUCACAAAUAUUUCCAAGAAACCAACAAACUAUUGUUUGGUUUCUGUCUUUAUUUUGUUCUUUUUUUUCCCUUUUUUUAUUUUUUUUAUGGAUAACUUUUCAGCAGGGAACAUUACUGCUGUGGGUCUUUUCAGCAGGUUGGGGAGGGAAGGGGUUAUUUUUCCUGGGUUUAGGCAGUUUGAUUGGAUGGCUGUGGACUUCCUCCUCCAUUUCUGACAGUCUGGGGAAGUCGGUGGUUCCUGUUUUGUUUUUCUGACCAUGUGUAAAUUAUUUAUACAGGCAGACUCUUCUGGGGGUGAGGUUUUCUUUGGGUUUUGCUGUUAGCUUGUAGGGUUUGUUAUAUCUUGGGGCACUUUUUGUUGUUGUUCAGCUUUUGUUACCCUGAAGUUCAGUUUGCUCCUUGUAACUUCCAAAUGGCUCCUGUGUCUGGAAGCUUCUGUAGCAAUUUCUUGACAGACUGACUUACAACCUAAAAGUGCUUUUCCCUUCACUCCCAAGCUGUCCACUGCUCAGGGAGAGUGUAGGGCCAGGAGCUGAACAUCAAUGAUCCUUGUGGGUCCCUUCCAACUCUGGAUAUUCUGUGACCAAAUCUGUGGAUGAGGGAAAGAAGUGGAUGCAACUUGCUUUGUCUUUAGUCAGGUGUUGAUGCAGUGUCCCCCAGUUUUCUUGUAUCGAGUUUUGGGUGUUACACCCUGGAUGGGUAGACAACUAAAAGUGUGGGAAAACUGCCAGGGUCAUUGGGACAGAGCAGUGGUCAGUGGUUUGUGCUCUGCCUGGAGGAUCUUAAUAAGGGAGGUUACUCAGGGAUUCCCCCAGGCCCUGUCCUGCUCCUGCUUUGGGAAGGAGGGUGACUGGAGCCAUUUGACUUUGAAGAAAGUGGUUUGGGAAGGAUAAGCAGUGAGCCCACUGUCAGGUCAUCCAGGACUUCAAUUGGAUCCAUUCCUUGAUUUUCAGGCUUAGAUAAACUUUUUGCAUUGCUCUGCAGUACCCAAAUAGCCCCUCUGAGGCUUAUUUCCUCAACUGCUGAUCCUAUAAGGCAUUUAAAAAAACCCAAACCAAACAAAAAACCCACCUCCCCAAAAUCACAGACAAACAAAUAAACAAAACCACACAGACA
ensembl:lncRNA